GGUUCUCCGGUGUCCCAAGAGCGGAGCCCGCCGGCAGGCGCCGGGCCCCCUGGGAGCUGGGCUGCGACCUCUGCUGGGGUCUCCGCGGGUCGCCCCCCUAGGGCUUCUCCAGGCUGCGGUACUUCUUGCGCUGCACGGACACCGGGUCCUUAAACAGCACCGGGUCCAGACGCAGACGAGAGGACAGCAAGGGCAUGUGGCCGAACGCUGCCGCUAUCUGGUUGAUGCAGUCGGGGGCUGGGGCAGGCGGCUUUGGCCUGGGCCCCGGGCCCCCAGGCGCCUAAGAGGGAAAGAAGCAAUGCAUUAACGGGCUUCUCUGCCCUUCCGAACUCCCCACGCCCGUGCAGCAAGAAAGACUGGAAUUAGACAGUGAGAGGGAAUCCUCUCCGGCAUCCCCGCCCAAUCCCUGCCAGUUCCGACCAAUCCCCCUCAGCCCUCACCAGUGGAGCAGCCUCCUGGCGCUGCUUGCCAUAGGGCACCUUGAUAGGGGGCAGCUUGGUGACUGCUGCUACUAUGAAAUUCAUCAGGACGUCCACACAGUGUCCACCAGGCCCUCCUUGGAAGAAGCCACAAGUAAGCAUCAGGACACCCUUCACCUCAUGAAAAGCCACAGCAGAAGCCAACCAGGCUGUCUGGCCCAGGCAGCUGCCCGGCACUUCGGAGAAACUGAGGCUCAAACCACUCCAGAGAUGACAAGUCCUGUCACCUUCAGGGAGGCGGAGGCCAAAGACAAAACUUGAAGGUCAGAGUCCAAGGCUGCCAAGCUUCGCCCCUGGGAAAUAAAACUUAUCAAAAAUGCUACUCAGAGGGUGACCCACGCUAAUUAGAAAACCGUGGCCGGCUCUGGCCAAUUUCAGAUCCAUUAGUAAACAUUUAAUGAGCA
rnacentral:lncRNA from 10 species